AGAGUUUGAUCAUGGCUCAGAGCGAACGCUGGCGGCAUGCUUAACACAUGCAAGUCGCACGGGCAGCAAUGUCAGUGGCGGACGGGUGAGUAACGCGUAGGAACAUGUCCGGAGGUGGGGGAUAACGUUGGGAAACUGACGCUAAUACCGCAUAUGUCCUGAGGGACAAAGCCGUGAGGCGCCUAUGGAGUGGCCUGCGUAGGAUUAGCUAGUUGGUGGGGUAACGGCCUACCAAGGCUACGAUCCUUAGCUGGUCUGAGAGGACGAUCAGCCACAUUGGGACUGAGACACGGCCCAAACUCCUACGGGAGGCAGCAGUGGGGAAUAUUGGACAAUGGGCGCAAGCCUGAUCCAGCAAUGCCGCGUGUGUGAAGAAGGUCUUCGGAUUGUAAAGCACUUUCGGCGGGGACGAUGAUGACGGUACCCGCAGAAGAAGCCCCGGCUAACUUCGUGCCAGCAGCCGCGGUAAUUC
rnacentral:rRNA from 1 species